UUUUGGAAAUGAAUCAUUUGGAGAUGGAUUUGCUGACUUCAGCACAUUAUCUAAGGUCAGCAAUGAAGAUCCUUUUAAUCCUACCAUAUCAAGUUCUGCCAGCAGUGUGGUCAUUCCAAAACCUGUGUUAGAGGAAACACCCAGCAAGAGUGAAGAUGUGCCUCCAGCACUGCCACCCAAGACCGGCACUCCAACAAGACCCUGCCCACCACCCCCUGGUAUGCACUCAGACUUUCCUGAUAAUGUGUGACCACUCUCUCUCCAGAAAGUGUUGUGUGUGCCUUACUCGCAUCGUGAUGUAGCGUGUGUUGUGUGUGCCUUACUCGAAUCGUGAUGUAGCGUGUUAGACUUUAAGCAAGAGCCAGGCACUGAACAAGAGCUGCUGUCCUCUUGGCUGCACAUGUGCCCCUCCCAUCCCCAUUUCAGAAAAGAAUGGGUGAAAUCUCUUUGGUUUUUUGGUCUUGUUUUUUUUUUUUGGAAAACCAUUAAUUAUCAUUUGAAUAGCAGUUUCCUGU
rnacentral:lncRNA from 1 species